rnacentral:rRNA from 1 species
CCCGCACAAGCGGUGGAGCAUGUGGUUUAAUUCGAAGCAACGCGAAGAACCUUACCAAAUCUUGACAUCCUUUGACCGCUCUAGAGAUAGAGUCUUCCCCUUCGGGGGACAAAGUGACAGGUGGUGCAUGGUUGUCGUCAGCUCGUGUCGUGAGAUGUUGGGUUAAGUCCCGCAACGAGCGCAACCCUUAAGCUUAGUUGCCAUCAUUAAGUUGGGCACUCUAAGUUGACUGCCGGUGACAAACCGGAGGAAGGUGGGGAUGACGUCAAAUCAUCAUGCCCCUUAUGAUUUGGGCUACACACGUGCUACAAUGGACAAUACAAAGGGCAGCUAAACCGCGAGGUCAAGCAAAUCCCAUAAAGUUGUUCUCAGUUCGGAUUGUAGUCUGCAACUCGACUACAUGAAGCUGGAAUCGCUAGUAAUCGUAGAUCAGCAUGCUACGGUGAAUACGUUCCCGGGUCUUGUACACACCGCCCGUCACACCACGAGAGUUUGUAACACCCGAAGCC